AUGUUCUUCAAGAAGUGUUGGGGAACCAUGAAGCAUUCGAUCAUGGAGUUCAUUCAAUGAUUUGACUCUCUGCACACCUCCAACCUUCAGUGGCUAAAUUCGGCCAACGUUGUUUUAUUGCCAAAAAAGGAUGGCGCGGAAGAAAUCUCUGACUAUAGUCCCAUUAGUUUCAUCCACGCCAUCGCUAAAAUCAUUGCCAAGAUUCUCUCGCUCCGGCUUGCGCCCCACAUGGACGAUCUUGUCUCCAACGCCCGGAGUGCAUUCAUCAAAAGGAGAAGUAUCCAGGACAACUUCAUGUAUCUUCGAAAUUUCACCCGAAGUCUUCACAAAUGCAAAACGCCCGCACUCCUCUUCAAGCUUGAUAUAAAGAAGGCGUUUGAAUCGGUCAAGUGGGGAUACAUCCUGGAACUUCUCCAACGAUUGGGCUUCCCUCCAAAAUUCCGGGCUUGGAUUGCUGUGUUAUUAUCAUCUUCUUCAUCUCGGAUUAUGUUAAAUGUGUUGCCCGGUCCUCCUGUCAAGCACGGUCAUGGAUUCUGGCAGGGAGACCCCAUUUCCCCCCUCCUCUUUGUUCUGGCAAUCAACCCCUUGCACAAGAUCCUCGACCUGGCGACGAGAAAGGGGCUCCUCCACAAGAUCUGUGGUCGCGGGUCCGUGGUGCGUACCUCCCUUUAUGCGGAUGACGCGGCGGUCUUUGUGGCUCCUAUCAAGCGGGACAUCGACAAUCUCGCCUCUAUUCUGAGAGGAUUUGGGGACAUGACAGGCCUUUGCUCCAACUUCCAAAAAAGCUCGGUUGUGCCUAUUCGUUGCAACCACCUCGACCUUGAGCAAAUCCUUGAGAGUAUGCCGGCAACACGGGCCUCUUUCCCGGUAAAAUACCUUGGCUUACCGCUUUCAGUUUGGCAACUAAAGAGGGUGGAUUUCCAAUACCUUGAGGAUAAGGCAGCCAGGAAACUGGUUACCUGGGAGUGA
rnacentral:rRNA from 1 species